GCGGCCAUAGCUCAGUUGGUUAGAGCACUUGAUUGUGAUUCAAGGGGUCGCGGGUUCGAGUCCCGUUGGCCGCCCCA
rnacentral:tRNA from 2 species